UAGGGAAUAUUGGUAAUGGGCGAAAGCCUGAACCAGCAACGCCGCGUGUGCGAUGAAGGCCUUCGGGUUGUAAAGCACUUUUUGAGGGGAUGAGGAAGGACAGUACCCUCAGAAUAAGUCUCGGCUAACUACGUGCCAGCAGCCGCGGUAACACGUAGGAGACUAGCGUUAUCCGGAUUUACUGGGCGUAAAGCGCGUGCAGGUGGCUCGGAAAGUUCGAUGUGAAAGCUCCCGGCUUAACUGGGAGAGGUCGUUGAAUAUUUUCGGGCUAGAGAAUGGGAGAGGGAGGCGGAAUUCCGGGUGUAGUGGUGAAAUGCGUAGAUAUCCGGAGGAACACCAGUGGCGAAAGCGGCCUCCUGGCCCAUUACUGACACUCAGACGCGAAAGCUAGGGUAGCAAACGG
rnacentral:rRNA from 1 species